rnacentral:lncRNA from 1 species
GAAUUUAUUAUCAGUUCUAAGUUUUUUUGUGGAGUCCUUAGGUUUUUCCAAAUAUAAGAUUAUGUUCUUUGUAAACAAGGAUCAUUAGACUUCUUCCUUUCCAGUUUGGAUGCCCUUUCUUUCUUUCUCUUGUCUGAUUGCUCUAGCUAGGACUUCCAGUACUUUGUUGAAUAACGGUGGUGAAAGUGGGCAUUCUCAGCCUGUUGUAGAGCCAUCCUCUGGGAAUAUUUUUUGUCACACCUUUGGAUCCAUGUUGUUUCAUGGAUACUAAGUCUCUCUGUUUCUGUUUUUUUUCUGUGUUUUUUUCAAACCUUUAUAAAUGACGUUUUACAUGUUUACAUUUUUUUCUUUCUGAAAGCUUUCAUACCCUUCUCUGUAACCUUGGUGUUCUGGAAUUUCAUAAUUAUAUGACUGGGUUGUGGGUCUUUUCUCAUUCCCUGUUCUGCUUUUUGUAGUCUUUUCCAGUCUCUGGCUUCAUGUACUUAAGUAUAACAAUGUCCUCUCAUCUGUUUUUUUUGUGUGUGUGUGUAUGUGUGUCUUUUGUUUGUUUGUUUUUUACAUUGUGGUAAAAUGCAUGUAAUAUAAAAUUUACUGCCUUAACCAUUUUUAAGUGUACAGUUCAGUGGCAUUAAGUACAUUAAUAUUGUUGUGCUGCCAUCGCUACUAUGCAUCCCCAUAACUCUUUUCAUUUUGCAAAACUGAAACUCUGACCAUUAAACAAUAACUCUGUAUUCCCCCUUCCCCUAGCCAUUGGCAAUCACUAUUUAACAUUCUGUCUCCUUGAUUUUGACCACUCUAGGUACCUCAUUAUAGUAGUUACGGUUUUCUAGAGAAACAGAACCAAUAGGAUGUGUGUGUGUCUGUGCGUGUGUGUGUGCAUGUGUGUGUACACAUACAUUAUACGCACACACAUACACAUAUAGAGACAGAGAUUGAUUGAGAGAGAGAGAGAGAUUGAUUUAUUUUCAGGAAUGGCAAGGCCAGCAGGCUGGAGACCCAGGGAAGAACUGAUGUCAACAUAUACAAUUAAUCAUCCUCAUCCUGUAAUCCCUGUGACUCAGGAGGCUGAGGCAGAAGGAUUACUUGAGGCCAGGAGUUUGAGACCAGCCUGGGCAAUAAUAGUGAGACUCGUCUCUACAAAAACAAAAGGUAAACAAAAUAUUUAACCAUCAUACUCACAUAAGUGGAAUUAUACACUAUUUCUCCUUUUGCGUCUGGCUUAUUUCACUUAGCAUAGUGUCAUUAUGUUAUGUCUUCUCCUUCUCCUCCUCCUCCUCCUCCACCACCUCCUCCUCCUCCUCCUUUUUCUUCCCUCUUCCCCUCCUCCCGCCCACGCCCCGCUC